UGGCUAAGUGGUCGAGUGGUAAGAACACUUGCCUCUCGCCCUGGAGGCCCGGGUUCGAACCCCGGUCAACUAGCUAG